GUUGGUUAAACUCCUUCCUUCACUA
rnacentral:tRNA from 1 species